CAUCAUCAUUCAAGGAAGAAGAAGAACACCUCCAGGUUGGUUCUUCUCAUUGUGGGAGACACUCUGGUUCGGGGUAGACUACACAAUAUCUCCAUGAAGCUGCAGGUUGAAAGAAAGAGCAAAGAGCAAGUUAGUUGAGGCGCUGUCAAAAGAGUUGUCUCAUCGUGCGGCUGUGCCAGGAUGUACAAGGAUGGUAGCAUCAUUUCAUUAGAUGAUUCUUUGGGUUUUGCUGCAAAUUUUUCACACAUGCUGGGAUAUGGUAGUCCCCAGAUGAAAGAGCUCAUGAGGCUUUAUGUCACCGUCCACAGGUUCCGAGCCAGCCAAGCAAUGUCCCCUAUCUUGAAGGAGAUUCUGCCGAGAUCCAAGUUUUUUUUGUUUGUUCUCUUGGACCAGGAAUUUGGGAAAUUAUCUUCGAUGGAGUUCAGGAGCCCUAUUGCCAGAAUAUCCGGUUUGGUGAUGUGUACAUCUCUGGGGGGUGUUUCUGUCCCAGCUCUUGACAAAGAUUGUCCCUGGCACUAGUUCCCAGUCCAAUAUAUUCUGUCAGAGGGAGGCUCAAUAACUGGGUGGUGACUUGUAAGCAGCUGGAUUCACAGUUAAUGAUCCUGUUCACACAAUGUUGCCACUUUCUCUGGAGCUUGGACCAGGAGUUUUUGGGAAAUUAUCUUCGAUGGAGUUCAUGCCUUUGAAGACUAUUAUCCGGUGAUGUCUACAUCCCUCAGGGGGUGUGUCUGUCCAGCUCUUGAAAAAUAUUGUCCUUGGGAGUUCUAACUCAUGAUGAUGGUUCGAAUCUACUACUCAAAAAAUGGAAUAACAAUGAAAAGCAUUUGAGGCCUGAGAAAGAGUUACUUCAGUGCAGGUCAGCUACAGUUCUGCCACAGUGGGAUAUCUUCAAAUAUGAUGUCUCAUGGUAACAAGUAUUUAUUUUGGAGAGCCAAGGGGAAUGCGCAUAAAGACCAAUGAAAAUGGCGAAGAAGUUGGUUUUAAUACUGUUUAUGCUACCCACUAGUAAUCUCGGGGAUGCGGAUGUCGGAGCAUAUAUAAAACAAGGAGAACAUUCCUUGCCCAAACCACCACUGCUGUUUUCUCAGGGAGACAAGUCGAUGAACCUUAAGAAAAGCAUCAAACUGCUAGAAAGAUAGCUAGAUACCAACUCUCUCACGUUCAUCUUGUACUAGUUUUUUUCUGUUUUUUUUUUGUGUUGAUUGCCUCAUUGCAGGGAAACGAGUGUUGAAAACAUAGCACUACCAAAUCGAUUAUGGAAAGUCAAGCCACCAAAAUGCAAAAGCUAGAUGAUGCAAAAUCAAGGAAGGUAAGCCAAAUUGUUACAAAAUCAGAUUGAUUCACUCUAACUAUGGUGGCGACGAAGAGAGAGGGAGAAUUAGGGUUCCUGGAGCUUCGAACUCAAACCCCCAUGGGUUCCUCCUUAUCUACCUAUCUAUGGGUCCAAGUUCUCGGUUCCGAGCCAGCAGCCUCGUUAGCCUUCUUCAAUCGGGUUCUUACUUAACUCCUUUCUAAACCAGAGGAUCUUCGGAAUCUUGGUGUUGGUUUUAUGGGAUCACAGGAAGCCUUUGAAGGACUAUUGCCAGAAUAUCCGGUCCGGUGAUGUGUACAUCCCUCGGGGGUGUUUCUAUCUUAGCUCUUGACAAUUGUCCUUGGGACUAGUUCCCAACCCAAUCAAUUUUGUCAGAGGGGGACACAAUAACUGGUGGUGACUUGUAAGUUUAUUGGUUUACUAGGAAGCAGCUGGAUUCACAGUUAAUGAUCCUGUUCACACAACGUUGGAGGCCUUAUUAUCCGGUGAUGUCUACAUCCCUCAGGGUGUGUCUGUCCCAGCGCUUGAAAAAUAUUGUCCAGCCCAACAAAUUUGGUAAGGAUUAUCCGGUUCUUUGGUGUGGGUUUUACGGGAUCUUUGGCAACUUCUCUCGUCCAAAGCCUGGCGUGGUGGUUAUGCAGCUUUUGCUUUUUCACUCUGCUCGAUAGGUCCCCAAGCUUUAUGAAGUGUUUUGUGCCUCCUAUAUUCUAAAUGAGCUAGGAAAGGUCAAGAACCACCCGAGGCCUAACGUUGAUGCUCAUAACGGAGUGCUGCUGAAAUAUCGUCUAACCGAAAGAAAGAUGCUGGCUAGCUCUCCCAAUCCAUGAAGGGGACCAUGAGCAACGUCCAAGACGAAGAAGAAGAACCCUCCAGGAUAAAGAGCCGUGUUAGAACCAGUAGCUACAACACACAAAGCAAGGCUCAGAAAAUAACAAUUACUCCUACCAAAGCAAUCACAGAGGUCAACAACAAGGCCAGUAAUAUGCGGACGUCUGAGCAGAUAUAAAACAAGGACAGAGUAAUCUCAGGGAUGCGGACGUCAGAGCAGAUAUAAAACGAGACCAUUCCUUGCCUAAACCACCACUGCAGUUUUCUCAGGGAGACAAGUCGAUGGACUUUAAUAAAAGCAUCAAAAUGCUGGAAAGAUAGCUAGUCUUCUGAGGAAUCCAUUCUGCACUCAGGCCAAAAAAUUCAGCCAUAGUUGUCUCAAGCCAAACGCAGUCAUUAGCAAAAUGUGUUAAGGGAAACGAGUGUUCAAAAACACUGAUUAUGGAAAGUCAUGCCAUCAACAACAAGUCAGAGAAGAGAGAAUGAAGUAGAUUCAGAACAAAACCGUUGCCAGCUUACUUACGGUAAUUGUUAAAUCCAACCCGUUUUUCGUCAGAACAGUGUUUGAGGUUUCGGUUUUUACAGAUCCUUGUGUCGACAUGGGUUACUAUAACCAUGUGGAGAUCUAAACUAUGGAAGUCAUUCUCCUGGCUUUAUAACUGGGAAUCUCACAAACAUGAUUGGUGGCGAAACUUGGACGGAGAAGUUCCCGACGUCGCAAAAUCUGGCUUUACUUCUGCAUGGUUGCCACCACCAUCUCAGUCUCUUGCCACCAGAAGUUCCAGCUUAUCUUCCACAUAACCUCUAUUCACUAAACUCAGUAUAUGGCUCUGAGCAUCUAUUGGAAUCUUUACCUCGUAAGAUGAAACAGUACAAAGUUGGCUGAUAUAGUUAUCAAUCAUCGUGUUGGGACAACGAGAGGACAUAGUGGAAUGUAUAGCCGUUAUGAUGGAACUUUCUUACCGUGAGAUGAACACGCCAUGACUUCUUGUACCGGAGGACUGGAAAGAUAUAAUCUGGUGGCUUCGUUGGCUGCGCAAGCGCAACACUGUUGGGUUUCAAGAUUUCCGUUUUGACUUUGCUAUGGGUUAUUCAGCAAACUAUGUGAAGGAAUACAUUGGAGCGUUUGUGAACCAUCCAGAAGGUCUUGUCACCUAUGAAUCUUAUCGAGAAGGAACAAGGGUAUAGCUGAGCAAGAUCUUAAAAAAGUGGAUGUAAUUGUGCUACAUUCUUUUGUCUCCUGAGGUCAUUUCUCGUCAGUCUACUAUAAAUAUAGGAACCAUUGGACAUAUCGCUCAUGAAAAUUCCACUGUUGUGUAAGCUAUUUCUGGUGUGCAGACUGUCCAUUUUAAGAAUAAAUUGGAACAUUACCAUUAAGCUAGGAUAUGCAAAUGCCAAGAUUUACAAAUGCGAGGAUGAUAAAUGGCCUAGACCAAUGUGCUACAGUAGGAGAUGUGUUUAUUUUAUUGCUCUAAAUGCAUAAAGACAACUAAAAUCCAAGUAGACAUCAGAUUUGGCUAGCUUGAAGGGCAAGAGAAUGGCGUCAAGCAUAUGUAUCUCUAUUGAAGUGCUCAUUUGGUCUUAAUUUUGAUGGUCAACUGAAUUCAACUUAUUUGGUUGACUUGUUAGAUUGGUUUGGUUGAUAAUAAGUGUUCAUCGUGAUGAUGCAACGGAUACUCUCUCCCUU